rnacentral:rRNA from 1 species
GACGAACGCUGGCGGCGCGCUUAACACAUGCAAGUCGAGCGAUGAAAUCUUAACAGAACCCUUCGGGGUGAAGAUAAGACGGAUUAGCGGCGGACGGGUGAGUAACACGUGAGUAACCUGCCUUUUACACAGGGAUAGCCUCAGGAAACCGGGAUUAAAACCUGAUGAAACUAUCAAAUCACAUGAUUAAGAAAGUUAAAACUCCGGUGGUAAAAGAUGGACUCGCGUCCCAUUAGCUAGUUGGUGAAGGUAACGGCCCACCAAGGCAACGAUGGGUAGCCGGCCUGAGAGGGGGAACGGCCACAUUGGAACUGAGAAGCGGUCCAAACUCCUACGGGAGGCAGCAGUGGGGAAUAUUGCACAAUGGGGGAAACCCUGAUGCAGCGACGCCGCGUGAGCGAAGAAGGCCUUCGGGUCGUAAAGCUCUUUUAUAUGGGAAGAUAAUGACGGUACCAUAAGAAAAAGCCCCGGCUAACUACGUG